CCGCGCGCACCGGGCGAGCGAGCAGCGGACGCGUCCCUCGGAGCGGCGGCGGAAGGACAGCGGUGGCGCCGCCCCGGACGGACAGACCCCCCAGCAGUCCCCACAGUCUGAGGAGUUUCGGGGCACCCUGACGGCACCAGCCUGGCAGGAGGGCACCGACCACGGUCCAGCUGCCACUCAGUUGUGAUCUGUAUCUCCAGUUACUUGAGGAAAAUGUUCACACAUCAAGGGUCGCCAUCGGAGACUGUACUGCUGCUUGGCUGGGGCAGGGGCUGGGACAGGGCUGUGUGGCUCUGGGACCUCAAGUCCUGGGAAUGCAGCUGCCCCCAGGGGCCCCCGGGGGCUCUCUCAGGUGCCCCCCGAGGAUCACAAGCCCUUUGGGAUUGCUUCGUAAAGUAUAUUAAAUGUGGAAUCACAAUUUAAUACACCAAAAACUAACCUAACAGUGCACGUCAACUGUAAUUAAAAGCAAACUUUAGAAACCAGAUCGAGCACUAAAGAUGACAGUAGUAUUUGUAAAAAGCAGGCCUUUCUUUUUCACUGGGGACCACGGAAAAUGGAGGUGGGCGAAGGGCCCGCAGCCGGGCUCUGAGGUGCCGACUUCCUGCUCUUCCCAGAGG